GAAAUAUCUUGGACGGCUGAAAAGAAUUGAACACUCCUUACAGGGGCAUGAACUGAAUUAAAUAUGUUUUGCUCCUUCACAUUCAAAACACGAACAUGUCUCCCACUGUAUAUUUAGUUCCUUGUGUGCGAACACUAUAAUUUCCAGGCAGGAACUUGCAAACCAGUCACAGUGUGAUGUAUUUCUUAAUGGGAGUUCUGUCACUGCUUUGGGAACUUCACUUACAGGAUUAAGGGUUUGAAACGGUAAAAAAAAAAGAAAACGGACGGUGGAGAAGAGAGAGAAUAAUGUU